CUAACUCCUGCCAGAAACAGCUCUCUUCAGCAUGAGAGCUGCACCCCUCCUCGUGGCCAGGGCAGCAAGCCUUAGCCUUGGCUUCUUGUUUCUGCUUUUUUUCUGGCUAGACCGAAGUGUACUAGCCAAGGAGUUGAAGUUUGUGACUUUGGUGUUUCGACACGGAGACCGAAGUCCCAUUGACACCUUUCCCACUGACCCCAUAAAGGAAUCCUCAUGGCCACAAGGAUUUGGCCAACUCACCCAGCUGGGCAUGGAGCAGCAUUAUGAACUUGGAGAGUACAUAAGAAAGAGAUAUAGAAAAUUCUUGAAUGAGUCCUAUAAACAUGAACAGGUUUAUAUUCGAAGCACAGACAUUGACCGGACUUUGAUGAGUGCUAUGACAAACCUGGCAGCCCUGUUUCCCCCAGAGGGUGUCAGCAUCUGGAAUCCUACCCUACUCUGGCAGCCCAUCCCGGUGCACACAGUUCCUCUUUCUGAAGAUCAGGAACUGCCCUCGUUUUCAAGAACUUGAGAGUGAGACUUUGAAAUCAGAGGAAUUCCAGAAGAGGCUGC
rnacentral:sRNA from 1 species